AUUGAACGCUGGCGGCAUGCCUUACACAUGCCAGUCGAACGGCAGCACGGGUGCUUGCCCCUGGUGGCGAGUGGCGAACGGGUGAGUAAUACAUCGGAACAUGUCCUGUAGUGGGGGAUAGCCCGGCGAAAGCCGGAUUAAUACCGCAUACGAUCCACGGAUGAAAGCGGGGGACCUUCGGGCCUCGCGCUAUAGGGUUGGCCGAUGGCUGAUUAGCUAGUUGGUGGGGUAAAGGCCUACCAAGGCCACGAUCAGUAGCUGGUCUGAGAGGACGACCAGCCACACUGGGACUGAGACACGGCCCAGACUCCUACGGGAGGCAGCAGUGGGGAAUUUUGGACAAUGGGCGAAAGCCUGAUCCAGCAAUGCCGCGUGUGUGAAGAAGGCCUUCGGGUUGUAAAGCACUUUUGUCCGGAAAGAAAUCCUUGACUCUAAUACAGUCGGGGGAUGACGGUACCGGAAGAAUAAGCACCGGCUAACUACGUG
rnacentral:rRNA from 1 species